rnacentral:rRNA from 1 species
AUUGAACGCUGGCGGCAGGCUUAACACAUGCAAGUCGAGCGGGGAAAGGUAGCUUGCUCCCUAACCUAGCGGCGGACGGGUGAGUAAUGCUUAGGAAUCUGCCUAUUAGUGGGGGACAACAUCUCGAAAGGGAUGCUAAUACCGCAUACGUCCUACGGGAGAAAGCAGGGGACCUUCGGGCCUUGCGCUAAUAGAUGAGCCUAAGUCGGAUUAGCUAGUUGGUGGGGUAAAGGCCUACCAAGGCGACGAUCUGUAGCGGGUCUGAGAGGAUGAUCCGCCACACUGGGACUGAGACACGGCCCAGACUCCUACGGGAGGCAGCAGUGGGGAAUAUUGGACAAUGGGGGGAACCCUGAUCCAGCCAUGCCACGUGUGUGAAGAAGGCCUUUUGGUUGUAAAGCACUUUAAGCGAGGAGGAGGCUACCGAGAUUAAUACUCUUGGAUAGUGGACGUUACUCGCAGAAUAAGCACCGGCUAACUCUGUG